AGGAAUAUUGGUCAAUGGGCGCGAGCCUGAACCAGCCAAGUAGCGUGAAGGAUGAAGGUCCUACGGAUUGUAAACUUCUUUUAUAAGGGAAUAAAGUCACCCACGUGUGGGUGUUUGUAUGUACCUUAUGAAUAAGCAUCGGCUAACUCCGUGCCAGCAGCCGCGGUAAUACGGAGGAUGCGAGCGUUAUCCGGAUUUAUUGGGUUUAAAGGGAGCGUAGACGGGUCGUUAAGUCAGCUGUGAAAGUUUGGGGCUCAACCUUAAAAUUGCAGUUGAUACUGGCGUCCUUGAGUACGGUUGAGGCAGGCGGAAUUCGUGGUGUAGCGGUGAAAUGCUUAGAUAUCACGAAGAACCCCGAUUGCGAAGGCAGCCUGCUAAACCGCCACUGACGUUGAGGCUCGAAAGUGUGGGUAUCAAACAGGAUUAGAUACCCUGGUAGUCCACACGGUAAACGAUGGAUACUCGCUGUUGGCGAUAGACUGUCAGCGGCUUAGCGAAAGCGUUAAGUAUCCCACCUGGGGAGUACGCCGGCAACGGUGAAACUCAAAGGAAUUGACGGGGGCCCGCACAAGCGGAGGAACAUGUGGUUUAAUUCGAUGAUACGCGAGGAACCUUACCCGGGCUUAAAUUGCAGAUGAAUUACGGUGAAAGCCGUAAGCCGCAAGGCAUCUGUGAAGGUGCUGCAUGGUUGUCGUCAGCUCGUGCCGUGAGGUGUCGGCUUAAGUGCCAUAACGAGCGCAACCCUUGUUGUCAGUUACUAACAGGUUCCGCUGAGGACUCUGACAAGACUGCCAUCGUAAGAUGUGAGGAAGGUGGGGAUGACGUCAAAUCAGCACGGCCCUUACGUCCGGGGCUACACACGUGUUACAAUGGGGGGUACAGCAGGCAGCUACCGGGCGACCGGAUGCCAAUCCCGAAAGCCUCUCUCAGUUCGGACUGGAGUCUGCAACCCGACUCCACGAAGCUGGAUUCGCUAGUAAUCGCGCAUCAGCCACGGCGCGGUGAAUACGUUCCCG
rnacentral:rRNA from 1 species